CCGGCCGCGGUCCGGGCGUCAGGCCGGGCGGCGGGGGCGGCAGGGAGGCGGCGCUCUGGGGCCGCAGGCGGACGUACUCUGUGAGCGGCGCCCGGGCGCCUGGGCAGGCGCCUCCCGAGUACCGGCGCCCAUUUUGCCCGCCCGCUAAGGAGACCCGUGCGCGGCCUACACGCUUGGGGGACAGCCCUUUAAGACGACAUCUCCGCGAACGCCGGCCUCUUGAGCCAGGGGGACGCUCUUUUGAAAUUUUCUGGAUAUGCCGCAGAAGGAUCCGUGCCAGAAGCAAGCCUGUGAGAUACAGAAAUGUUUACAAGCCAACAGCUACAUGGAAUCAAAGUGUCAGGCUGUCAUCCAAGAACUGCGUAAGUGUUGUGCUCAGUAUCCCAAGGGAAGAUCUGUCGUCUGUUCAGGAUUUGAAAAAGAAGAGGAAGAAAACCUAACACGGAAGUCUGCAUCAAAGUAAAGUUCUUCUGAAGUGCUGCUCCAUGUUUCCACCAAAUGAAUUUUUUUUAUCCUCCUGACUCUUCAGGCCAGGUAGCAGCAAAUAGCAAAUGAAAAAGUCAGCUACAAAAGUUAAUGAAUAUGCCAUCUAUGCAGAACAGGCAGAAAUAUAAACACAUUAAAAGACAAAUAUGUAGAAUGUAAUAUACUGAGCUGCUAAAAUAAACCUGUUUAAGAGAAAAA
rnacentral:lncRNA from 10 species